rnacentral:misc_RNA from 1 species
GAGAAACCCCAAGUACUCUGCAAUUCUCAGCUUCCACCUUUGCAAAGUCGUAUAUCAAAUCUGUAAAAAUAGAGUCGGAUCGGAAGAGGAAGAAGACAUCGAUCUCUGCUGCAGAUCGACCGCCGGAUAAGCACAAGAAAAAGUCCAAAAUGCCGUCAUCCUCUUCCCGCUACGGCGCCGGUGGAGACAAAGUGAAGGCGUCUCAUAUACUCAUUAAGCAUCAGGAGUCUCGUCGCAAGUUUUCCUGGAAGGAUCCGGAAGGUCGUGUUAUCUCCAACACCACCAAAGAAGCUGCCGUUUCUCAGCUGAAAUCUAUCCGUGAAGACAUUGUCUCUGGCAAAGCCAAGUUCCAGGAUAUAGCCGCCACUCAUUCUCACUGCAGCUCAGCCAAACGCGGCGGUGAUCUCGGUUCAUUUGGCAAAGGUCAGAUGCAGAAACCUUUUGAAGAAGCAACUUUUGCUCUAAAAGUUGGCGAGAUAAGUGACAUCGUGGAAACUGAGAGUGGUGUUCAUAUCAUCUUGAGAACGGCAUAAUGUGAUGCUUGCGGAAGAAUGAUUGGAAUACUCACCCAGAAAAUACUCAUAUUAAAAGAUCACACCAAGGAUAUUUUUUCUUACGCCCUUCUAUUCCCUGUGGUUGUGGUGAAUAUUUAAGAAAACUAGAAGAAAAGGAAAGACUUGUGUGUUUGUUUGAUUAUUUAGUUUUCUUUCAGUUGGUACUUUUGGGCAUGUUUUAUAUUUGCCAGAAACCUUUUGAC